rnacentral:rRNA from 1 species
UGGGGAAUAUUGGACAAUGGGGGCAACCCUGAUCCAGCAAUGCCGCGUGUGUGAAGAAGGCCUGCGGGUUGUAAAGCACUUUCAGUAGGGAAGAACAAAUUGAGGGUUAAUACCCCUCGGUCUUGACGUCACCUACAGAAGAAGCACCGGCUAACGCCGUGCCAGCAGCCGCGGUAAUACGGAGGGUGCGAGCGUUAAUCGGAAUUACAGGCCGUAAAGCGCGCGUAGGCGGUUUGGUCAGUCGGAUGUGAAAGCCCCGGGCUUAACCUGGGAAUUGCAUUCGAAACUGCCAGGCUAGAGUAUGGGAGAGGGAAGUGGAAUUUCCGGUGUAGCGGUGAAAUGCGUAGAUAUCGGAAGGAACACCAGUGGCGAAGGCGGCUUCCUGGACCAAUACUGACGCUGAGGUGCGAAAGCGUGGGUAGCGAACAGGAUUAGAUACCCCCGUAGUCC